AGAGUUUGAUCAUGGCUCAGAACGAACGCUGGCGGCGUGCUUAACACAUGCAAGUCGUACGAGAACGUCCGCUUCGGCGGAUUAGUAGAGUGGCGCACGGGUGCGUAACACGUGGGUAAUCUACCCUGAAGAUUGGGAUAACAUGGGGAAACCCAUGCUAAUACCGAAUAUCCCUGCAUAGCAUACGCUAUGCAGGUAAAGGCGGCCUCUAUUUAUAAGCUGUCGCUUUAGGAUGAGCCCGCGGCCUAUCAGGUUGUUGGUGAGGUAAUGGCUCACCAAGCCUACGACGGGUAGCUGGUCUGAGAGGAUGACCAGCCACAUUGGAACUGAAACACGGUCCAGACUCCUACGGGAGGCAGCAGUGGGGAAUAUUGCGCAAUGGGGGAAACCCUGACGCAGCGACGCCGCGUGGAGGAUGAAGGCCUUCGGGUUGUAAACUCCUGUCAGUGGGGAAGAAGGAAUGAGUGCCAAUACCACUCUGACUUGACGGUACCCGCAGAGGAAGCACCGGCUAACUACGUGCCAGCAGCCGCGGUAAUACGUAGGGUGCAAGCGUUGUUCGGAAUUACUGGGCGUAAAGAGUGCGCAGGCGGCUCUGUUAGUCUAAUGUGAAAUCCUUGGGCUCAACCCAAGAACUGCAUUAGAUACUGCAGGGCUAGAGUGCGGGAGAGGUAAGCGGAAUUCCUGGUGAAGGGGUGAAAUCCGUAGAUAUCAGGAAGAACACCGGCGGCGAAGGCGGCUUACUGGAACGCAACUGACGCUCAUGCACGAAAGCGUGGGGAGCAAACAGGAUUAGAUACCCUGGUAGUCCACGCCCUAAACGAUGGAUACUGGGUGUUGGGAAGAUUAUUUCUCAGUGCCGUAAGCUAACGCAUUAAGUAUCCCGCCUGGGGGAGUUACGGCCGCAAGGCUAAAACUCAAAAGGAAUUGACGGGGGGGCCCGCACAAGCGGUGGAGCAUGUGGUUUAAUUGGAAGAUACACGGAAGAACCUUACCUAGGCUUGACAUGUUUAUGAAAGCUUUGCGAAAGCAAAGCCCUCUUUGAGCUUGCUUAGAGACAUAAUCACAGGUGCUGCAUGGCUGUCGUCAGCUCGUGUCGUGAGAUGUUGGGUUAAGUCCCGAAACGAGCGCAACCCUCGUUACUAGUUACUAACAGGUUAAGCUGAGCACUCUAGUAAGACCGCCAGGGAUAACCUGGAGGAAGGUGGGGAUGACGUCAAGUCAUCACGGCCCUUAUGCUUAGGGCUACACACGUGCUACAAUGGGGCGUACAAAGGGUUGCGAACCCGCGAGGGCAAGCUAAUCCCAAAAAGCGCUCCUCAGUUCGGAUUGCACUCUGCAACUCGAGUGCAUGAAGCUGGAAUCGCUAGUAAUCGCAGGUCAGCUAUACUGCGGUGAAUACGUUCCCGGGCCUUGUACACACCGCCCGUCACACCAUGGGAGUUGGUUCUACUGGAAGACGGUAAGCUAACCCUUAAAGGGAGGCAGCCGUUCAUGGUAGGGUCAGCAACUGGGGUGAAGUCGUAACAAGGUA
rnacentral:rRNA from 1 species